AUUGAACGCUGGCGGCAGGCUUAACACAUGCAAGUCGAGCGGGGUGAUGGUGCUUGCACUAUCACUUAGCGGCGGACGGGUGAGUAAUGCUUAGGAAUCUGCCUAUUGGUGGGGGACAACAUCUCGAAAGGGAUGCUAAUACCGCAUACGUCCUACGGGAGAAAGCAGGGGAUCACUUGUGACCUUGCGCUAAUAGAUGAGCCUAAGUCGGAUUAGCUAGUUGGUGGGGUGAAGGCCAACCAAGGCGACGAUCUGUAGCGGGUCUGAGAGGAUGAUCCGCGACACUGGGACUGCGACACGGCCCAGACUCCUACGGGAGGCAGCAGUGGGGAAUAUUGGACAAUGGGGGGAACCCUGAGCCAGCCAUGCCGCGUGUGUGAAGAAGGCCUUAUGGUUGUAAAGCACUUUAAGCGAGGAGGAGGCUCUUUUGGUUAAUACCCAAGAUGAGUGGACGUUACUCGCAGAAUAAGCACCGGCUAACUCUGUGCCAGCCGCCGCCGUAA
rnacentral:rRNA from 1 species